GAUGAACGCUGGCGGCGUGCCUAAUACAUGCAAGUCGAGCGAAAGGACGAGACGUUUGCUUCUCUGAUGUUAGGGGCGGAAGGGUGAGUAACACGUGGAUAACCUACCUAUAAGACUGGGAUAUCUUCGGGACACGGGCGCUAAUACCGGAUAAUAUUUUGAACCGCAUGGUUCACAAGUGAAAGUCGGUCUUGCUGUCACUUAUAGACGGAUCCGUGCUGCAUUAUCUAGUUGGUAAGGUACCGGCUUACCAAGGCAACGAGGCAUAGACGACCUGAGAGCGGGGACGGCCCCGCUAGAACUGGGCCACCGUCGAUGCUCCUACGGGAGGCAGCAGUAGGUUAUCUUCCGCAAUGGGGGAGAGCAUGCCGGAGCGACGUGGCGUGAGUUAUGAUGGUCUUCGGAUCGUAAUACCCUGUGAUUGGGUAGGAACAUAUGUGUAAGGAGAUGGGCACAUCUUGACGGUACCUAAGCAGAAAGCCACGGCUAACUACGUG
rnacentral:rRNA from 1 species